CACGGGGAGGUAGUGACGAAAAAUAACGAUACGGGACUCAUCCGAGGCCCCGUAAUCGGAAUGAGUACACUCUAAAACCUUUAACAAAAAUCAAUUAGAGGGCAAGUCUGGUGCCAGCAGCCGCGGUAAUUCCAGCUCUAAUAGCGUAUAUUAAAGUUGUUGCGGUUAAAAAGCUCGUAGUCGAAUUUGUGUCUCGCGCCGCCGGUUCAUCGCUCGCGGUGUCAACUGGCGUGUGGCGGGACGUCCUGUCGGUGGGCUCUGCGGAUUGCUUGCUUUGCUUGCGUUCGUAGCCCUGUGCGUGCCCGUCUCGUGCGGGUGCGUUCCCCAUCGCGGUGCUCUUUAUUGAGUGUCGAGGUGGGCCGGCACGUUUACUUUGAACAAAUUAGAGUGCUUAAAGCAGGCCAAUUUUGCCUGAAUACUGUGUGCAUGGAAUAAUGGAAUAGGACCUCGGUUCUAUUUUGUUGGUUUUAGGAAUGCCGAGGUAAUGAUUAAUAGGAACGGAUGGGGGCAUUCGUAUUGCGACGUUAGAGGUGAAAUUCUUGGAUCGUCGCAAGACGGACAGAAGCGAAAGCAUUUGCCAAAAACGUUUUCAUUGAUCAAGAACGAAAGUUAGAGGCUCGAAGGCGAUCAGAUACCGCCCUAGUUCUAACCAUAAACGAUGCCAGCUAGCGAUCCGCCGACGUUCCUCCGAUGACUCGGCGGGCAGCUUCCGGGAAACCAAAGCUUUUGGGUUCCGGGGGAAGUAUGGUUGCAAAGCUGAAACUUAAAGGAAUUGACGGAAGGGCACCACCAGGAGUGGAGCCUGCGGCUUAAUUUGACUCAACACGGGAAAUCUCAUCAGGUCC
rnacentral:rRNA from 1 species